rnacentral:rRNA from 1 species
AUUGAACGCUGGCGGCAGGCUUAACACAUGCAAGUCGAGCGAGCGGCGGACGGGUGAGUAAUGUAUGGGAACCUGCCUGAUGGAGGGGGAUAACUACUGGAAACGGUAGCUAAUACCGCAUACCAUCAGAUGUGCCCAGAGGGGAUUAGCUAGUCGGUGGGGUAAUGGCUCACCUAGGCGACGGUCCCUAGCUGGUCUGAGAGGAUGACCAGCAACACGGGAAUUGGUGCACGGUCCAGACACCUACGGUAGGCAGCAGUGGGGAAUAUUGCACAAUGGCAGCAAGCCUGAUGCAGCCAUGCCGCGUGGGGGAGGAAGGCUUUCGGGUGGUAAAGCACUUUCUGCGAGGAGGCGUUACCCGCAGAAGAAGCACCGGCUAACUCCGUGCCAGCAGCCGCGGUAAUUC